UACGUGUAAGGCAAGCGUUAUUUCGUCAUUAAUGGGUCUAAGGGUACGUAGGCGGUAUAGUAAAUCUUUUUUAUUAACAUCCUAAGACGUGAGAAAGAUAUUGCUAAACUAGAGUAAAUAAGAAGUAACAAACUCUUUUAGAAUUGGGUAAGAAUAUUAAACUUUGUGGGUUGCGAAGUGGCGAAAGCAUGUUACUAUGAAAAACUGACGCUGAGGUACGAAGGCAUGGGUAUCGAUCGGG
rnacentral:rRNA from 1 species